UUAUGGUAGUAUUAGUAUAACUAAGUGGAGGAAGAAAAGGGAGAGAGAUUCUAGAGAGAGAAGGGUAGCUCAAGUUUUGCUUUUGGGUUUCUUGUUGGACUUGGCUUUUUGGCUUUGGUUUCAGCUUUUUCUCUGAAAGGGGGUUUUAAUGGAGGACUUUAAACAUAACUUGAGGGUGACACAGUAAUGCUAGAAACAUGGGGGAAAAAGGCAGUUGGUUUUAUGCCCUCAAAAGGGUUUUUACGUGUAACUCCAAGAAGAAGUCUGCCUAUGGAUCAGGGAAGAAAACUGCAAAGGAAAAGAAGAAGGGUCGUAGAAUACUGAGGCAUGGAGAGUUCAAAUCAUUCCUCUUCAGAGAACCAAGCAGUAUUGAGAAAAUACUGGGUGAGGUUGAUGAUCAGAACCUACUUGUUAGGCCUCCUACUUCUGAACAAUCUGGCAUUCCAUCUGCAUUCCCUGUGGCACCAACUUCUCCAAGAAUCAAUUCACCUAGAGAUGCGUCUCCUCAGAGUUCUUAUAGGGCUACAUCUCCUGGUGUCACUUCUCCGAGGGUCGCCUCUCCAAGGGUUGUCUCUCCUAAGGCAGCUUCUCCAAAGGUUACCUCUCCCAAGGAAGCUUCUCCGAAGGUUACAUCUCCCAGGGAAGCUUAUCCAAAGGCUACCUCUGCUAGUGCUCCUUCCCUAAAGGCUCUCUCUCCUAGGGAAGCUUCUCCAAAGGCGAACUCUGCUAGUGCUCCUUCCCAGAAGGCUACUGCUCCCAAGGAGGCUUCUCCAAGGGUCUCUUCCCCUAGAUCUACUUAUCCAGAGCCGAGUAGGAACCAUAAUGAGAUUAGCUAUGCUAACAGGCCAGAAGCAACUUUGACGCUCCAUCUUUCAGCAACCAAGAUACAGGCAGCCUACAGAAGUUACAUGGCAAGGAGGGGUUUCAAAUCUUUGAGUGGUUUAGCAAGACUUCAAGGAGUGGUCAGAAGCAGAAGUGUAAAGCGGCAGACAGUAAAUGCCAUGAAACAAAUGCAACUUCUAGGUAGGGUUCAAAUGCAAAUUCAGUCAAGGAGAAGUCAGAUGUUCCAGGCACUCCAUAGUCAAGCUUACAUGAAUGAUAAAGAAGUUGAGAGCACUCUAAGCAAAUGGACUCAGCUGACUGAAGCAGGUAACCAUGAUGAUUGGAAUAAUAGUAUGCUAACUAAAGAUGAGGUAGAAGCAAGGCGACGGGAAAAAGUGGAGGCAGUCAUCAAGAGGGAGAGAGCAAUGAGCUAUGCAUAUUCUCACCAGUUGUGGAGACGCAACCCCAAAUCAGCUACGGACAUCCGAACCAGUGGAAUUCCUUGGUGGUGGAACUGGUUGCACCACCAGCUACUUCCAGGAAAUGAUUCCGAGAGCCAAUCUGCUGUAAAAGAUGUCCAUUCAACACCAUCAAGGGCAAUAUCCGAACACAAGCCAAGUCCAUGGCGUCUAAGUCAAAACUUCAGACACCUCCAUUUGGAUUGUGACAGUCAUGAAUCAGUUACACCAAGGUCAACUAAGUCUGCAGUUCCAUUAAGGGGAAAACUAAUGCAUACUCCCAGAAGAACAUCAUCACCAAUGAGCAGCUCAAGCGUAUCAAAGUAUUCAAGACGCCGUGCUAGUGCUGCUGAUUCCCCUUUCAAUCAUUCCAUGAAGGAUGACGACAGCCUCACGAGCUGUCCUCCUUUUUCAGGUCCUAGUUACAUGUCACCAACCAUCUCAGCCAAAGCUAAAUUCAGAGGAAAAACCAUUCUUGAGGAGAGAAAUAUAGGUACUCCAUCAAACAGCUCGAGGAGGAGGCUGUCGUUUCCUUUGACUCCAAGUAGUACUGGAUCCGUCAAGUGGAACAAAGGAUCUGGAAAGGAUGCCGCUUCUUUAAAGGAACAUGAAUCUAUGGGAGAUCAUAUGAGUGUGCAUUCUACUGGUUCGACGCCUACUAUAGUUGGGAGGAAACCAUUUCAAAGAUUUGUGUAAUUUUGUUCCCUGUAUGUUGUCCCAUCUGUAUUUAGCUCUGAAGUUACCUAUGUAUGUGUAUUUAUUGGUGUAUUUUGUUAACAGAACACUAAUGUAAAAUAAUUAAGUGUGAACAUUCUCUUGUUUGUUAGACUUAUCUAGUGAAGGAAGA
rnacentral:misc_RNA from 1 species